GAUGAACGCUGGCGGCGUGCCUAAUACAUGCAAGUCGAGCGAACAGACGAGGAGCUUGCUCCUCUGACGUUAGCGGCGGACGGGUGAGUAACACGUGGAUAACCUAUCUAUAAGACUGGGAUAACUUCGGGAAACCGGUGCUAAUACCGGAUAAUAUAUUGAACCGCAUGGUUCAAUAGUGAAAGACGGUUUUGCUGUCACUUAUAGAUGGAUCCGCGCCGCAUUAGCUAGUUGGUAAGGUAACGGCUUACCAAGGCAACGAUGCGUAGCCGACCUGAGAGGGUGAUCGGCCACACUGGAACUGAGACACGGUCCAGACUCCUACGGGAGGCAGCAGUAGGGAAUCUUCCGCAAUGGGCGAAAGCCUGACGGAGCAACGCCGCGUGAGUGAUGAAGGUCUUCGGAUCGUAAAACUCUGUUAUUAGGGAAGAACAAAUGUGUAAGUAACUAUGCACGUCUUGACGGUACCUAAUCAGAAAGCCACGGCUAACUACGUG
rnacentral:rRNA from 1 species